GACAUAAAUUGGUGGCCUUGUCUUACAAAGAUCUGAAGCCUAGGGGACGACACUGGUCAGAACUGAAGAGGUUAGUGCUCUGAGGGUCUGGGCUACAGACAGGAGCUGCUCAUCUUUCUUUCAUCCAGAGUGUGUGUUCAGUCGUGUCCAACUCUCUGCAACCUCACCUUCGCUGGCCAGCCAGGCUCCUGUGUCCGUGGGAUUUUUCCGGCAAGAAUACUGGAGUGGAUUGCCAUUUCUCCCUCCAGAGGAUCUUCUCCACCUUGGGAUGGAACAGUGGCUCCUGAAUUGGCAGGCGGGGUCUUCAUCGCUUGAACCAGCUAGGAACCCUUUCACUGAGAGCUCUUUCAUCGUAUGCUCAUUCCGGGGGGGUCCCAUCGGCAUCCUGCGGAUGGACUUCAGCCUGGGUUGCCUCUAGCCCCUCGACCCCUCCCGGGGCAACCUAGUGUCUGUCUCGCAGCAGCGGGAAGCGCACCCGGAGCCCACUCAACACUUAGUCAAAGGUGGCGCAGCGAGUUUGAAUCCUGCACCCUUGGGGGCAGAGACAGCUGGAGCGGCAAGCCCUAGGCCCCGAGAAACCCAGCUAGUUGAAGUCUCAGCUCAGACUCUGAGGCGCCCCAGUCUGAAGAGGCGGUUUGUCUUUUCACCUAAUUCAAUAGGCCCAGGAUUUCCCAAGGGCUCAAAGCCGUGGGCUGAUCACAGACAGCCCUUCAUCGCCUUACCACACCUUCCCUGCGCUGGGAUCCAACGGCUUCCCUCUCCCCGACCUGUCGCUAUCCUCGAUCACCGUGUCGUCAGGCACCCCACCUCCCCCCGCCACCGUGACUCCACGAGGGGCCGCGGUAAUCUACAGCAUUCCAAACACACCUCGCCACCCCAGCCCUGGCCGAGGCGCCGUGCCAGCCCGCGUGCAGCGGGACUCUGCCGUUCUUCCCGCAGCACAGACACGCAGCAAUGCCCCAACACCUCCCGGAAAAACCCUUCCCCACCGCAAAGCAGUCUCCAGUCCCACGCGCUCGGAGUCGCACCCGCUCCAGGGUCACCCGCCUGGCGCCGCCGCCGCCCCGCGCGCCCGCCUCCGGGUCGUGGGGUCGGGUCUCCAGCGAUCAAAAAAGGCCCUCACUUGCGCCCAGCUCUCCGGUUACACCCGGGGGAGGCCUCGGCCCCACGCUCUAGGGCAGUCAGCAGCUGCUUUCGUUCUCCGGCUGAGGCGUCCUUUUCUUCCUCUCUGGCAGGCGGUGGUUAGCGGUGCACGGCUGCCUCUACUCCGGCCUCUUCCUCUUCGGUGGGGUCGCCUACCCGGCCGCGUGCGACAGUGACAGCUUCCAGCUGCCUGCCUUUGAGUCUCUCCCUUAGGAGAGAAUUGUGGAGGGGCAACUCUCCCCUCGCAGGGGUCUGCCCAGCCCCACUUCGGUCGCCCGCCGCUCUCCCUAGUGACCCACUCCCCUUUCAAGCCUGUUCCUCCGAG
rnacentral:lncRNA from 1 species